rnacentral:lncRNA from 1 species
UUGACUAUGGACUUGAUAUUUUUGUAGUGCUUCUUCAGUUGAGCUUCCUUAUCCUGGACCUGAUCCUUGGUAAAUCUUGCCUCUGGAUAUAAAUUGUUCAAUUCUUUAACAACUUGAUUCCAUCCUUCAGUAGUCCACCCAUUUUGGCCACGAUAAUGAGAUAGAUUGUACUCUGUAAGUAUCUCGACAAGACCUUUCUCAUAUCUUGAUGUCCACUUAGCCCUAUUUUGCGUCAUAUUGAACCUAUG